rnacentral:rRNA from 1 species
GGUUAAGCGACUAAGCGUACACGGUGGAUGCCCUGGCAGUCAGAGGCGAUGAAGGACGUGCUAAUCUGCGAUAAGCGUCGGUAAGGUGAUAUGAACCGUUAUAACCGGCGAUUUCCGAAUGGGGAAACCCAGUGUGAUUCGUCACACUAUCAUUAACUGAAUCCAUAGGUUAAUGAGGCGAACCGGGGGAACUGAAACAUCUAAGUACCCCGAGGAAAAGAAAUCAACCGAGAUUCCCCCAGUAGCGGCGAGCGAACGGGGAGCAGCCCAGAGCCUGAAUCAGUGUGUGUGUUAGUGGAAGCGUCUGGAAAGGCGUGCGAUACAGGGUGACAGCCCCGUACACAAAAAUGCACAUACUGUGAGCUCGAUGAGUAGGGCGGGACACGUGGUAUCCUGUCUGAAUAUGGGGGGACCAUCCUCCAAGGCUAAAUACUCCUGACUGACCGAUAGUGAACCAGUACCGUGAGGGAAAGGCGAAAAGAACCCCGGCGAGGGGAGUGAAAAAGAACCUGAAACCGUGUACGUACAAGCAGUGGGAGCACGCUUAGGCGUGUGACUGCGUACCUUUUGUAUAAUGGGUCAGCGACUUAUAUUCUGUAGCAAGGUUAACCGA